AACGUUAUCAUAAACAAUAUGUCGUCAUCACAGUUCGCUAUCUUUUGCAUCAUCUUGAUUGCUUUAUCUCCUCUUCAAGAAUGUAUGCAUUUAUAAUAGUUUUCAUUUGUUCAUCAUCUAUCUUUUUCACCAUUGUAAUUCCAUCAUCAUAUCCUCGAUAGUUGUUUUUCCUCCAAAUGAUAUUGUUGUUACUUUUUUGUUUAUAUAGUUGUCGAUGCAGCUAAAGGAACAUGCAGCCAAAAAGUAUGCCCAAAACUCAAAACCAAAGAUAAGACUUGCUUUUGUUGUUCCUCCACUGGGGGUUGCUCCGGGACCAGACAAAAUUGCGAAGGUUGGUGUAAAUAAAUUAUCUCGAGAAGCUGCAUCAAGGAUUUAAGAAAACCUGAAUAAUCAUUUUAUUUAAUUCUUCCUAAUAUCUACUUUUGUUUUAUGUGAAUAAAGCAUGCUCAUCUAGAGCCCAUCAAAUACAAUGCAUGCCUAUUGUAUUUGUGUCCAGAGACUUUCAUAUUCUAUUCUAUGCAAUGCGCAUCAUUUAAACUUAUUUUGUCCCCUUUUGUUUUAAUUUGCUAUUAAUUUCUUAAAUAUUUCUU
rnacentral:lncRNA from 1 species